GCGCCCAUUUUACAAUCACCACACUCCGCACAGUGUUGCAGCAUGCGCAUCAAUUUGAUUGGGUGUUCGUCAGCAAAAUAUCAAAGCUUGAGAUGAACGGUCACUCUUAUGCUGCUGUGGCCACAGUGCGCCCUGCCAGGCACAGUGUGUAUCUGUCUUUUCCAACUCAGCUGUGCAUCUCACUUUCGAAAUGACAACGAGAUCUAAUCAGAGAUCUAGAUCGGCCUGAUGAGACCUCAGUCAAAAUUCAAUUGGGGUGGCCGCUGGCCCCUGUCAUCACUGCUGACUCAUCAGCCAUGACUCAUCAGCCAUGCAGCGGGCUGGCUUUCGUUCGCUGCUUCCGCCGAGCCCGGUACACGUCAUGAGCGGGUGCCAGAUUGUUGCCUGCCUCGCCGCCACCGGCCUCAAAUUUCAAAUUCGAAUUCGCGUCCGCGCCGUCCGGCCACGGCCGCUUGCGCGGAUCUGCCGGGCCCGCAUCCGGUGGCCGCAGCACUGCAGUAAGCAGCAACGUCGCUAAAAGGGUAUUUUCUAUCGUUUGGGAAAGGGUGAGCGGCGGUAUAUAUCUUCUGACAUCAUGAAGACCCAGAACAUUUCUUAAAGCGGGUGCUGCUGCAAAGCUGCCAGGAAGCUGAGCUGAGCUAUGUAGCGCGGGAUGUGAGAUAAGUCAUGCGCCGGCACAGGUGGAUAUGCAAGCCGACCAUUUUGAGAGCACCCCAAAGGAAACAAGAGUGAUCGCCCAGCAAAGCAUGCCACUCUCUCUUCGGUCUCCCGCUGGCUUGCUCGCCUGCCAAACAGUGCGCUGCAAGUGCAAAGUGCAAAGUGUCCGAUGUCCCAGAGAACAUUGAGCUAGGCAGGUCUGCAGGGGCAUCUACAGCCUUUUGGGAUUGAAGUCUGCCACCAAUGUGCUCAAAAUUGUUAUGCUCAGCGCACACAUCAGUGGUGGCGUCAGCGAGCCAAGCGGACCUGCAGGGGUGGCUGCACGUGCCCUAUCUAUGUGGCCCCCGGCCCUUGAAGUCACAUUUCCUUGCAAUGCUACUGGAACAGCUAUACUACUAUAGGGUUUAGGUUAUGCGUGCAUGCAUGCGAUGUCCACCUGGCGGAGGUGGCAGCGAGGAUUGCUGUUGGGGAGGUGGCGAGAAGCUCAGGCCGAGGGCGGCUGCCUCGGAGGCGGCCAACGCCGCUGGAGACAGGUCCGCUGACAUCAGCACCUCUAUCACCGCGUCCACGUCCACCGGGUUCCCCUCCA
rnacentral:lncRNA from 1 species